GUGUGUGUGUGUGUGUGUGUGCUCUCUAUCCUCCUCCUCCUCUUCGCGCAGAGCUCCAAAUCCCGUAUUAACGCCCAGCACUCGGGGGGGUCUUCAGCACAGGAAGGCUACAUCAAUGAACAGAUCAGCUCCAGUGACGCAUAAAACAUGUGGAGAGGACUUCAGCUAGGCCCAACACGGCUUAUUCGGGAUUUAAAGUGGCCAGAUUUGCUGGACAACCCACAAUAGAGGUUUGAUCCAAGCGUACCUGUCGGCCGUUCCGCUCAACUACACAGGAAGAAGGGGGAUGAAACGGAGGCGCUGAGGAAACUGGAGAGAAAUGAUUAUUGAUUUAAUCACAUAAUCAGCAGCCAACACUUCAGGCCCAGAUAGCAAAUCCAUAAUAGCCUCGCCACAUAAGCGGCCCCUUACAAAUUUACCUCCAAAGCCCAGCACGUGCACACACUGCAAACACGGCGAGGCCGAGGGUCACCUUCAGCCGCCGUCAAAAUAUUGACACUCCUGACGCUUAAAUAUGGUUUUGAGUUAAGCGUUAUCAAUCAUCGAUAAAGUACAACAGCAGUGACGGACGGAUUAGAGAAACGCUUUUAUUCUUAUAAUCUGAGAAUCUAUCGGACAAAAGGGGAAAUCAAUUACGUGUGAGUGUGUGUGUGUCUGUGUGUGUGGUCAGGAAGAGAGAGCACAUGAAAACACAAGCUGUCUGGUCAUCCUUAAGCGUUCAGCUACCUGCUUUUCAUUUUCCCUCUAACUGCAGAUCUCUAACUGUGUGUAUGCAUGUUCUUAUGUGUGUGUGUGUGUGUGUGUGUGUGUGUGUGUGUGUGUGUGCAUUUGAAAGGUGGCCUAACCCUUCAUCAAUAUGACACCCCUAAUUGUAGUGCUCCCUCAAAGAUGCCACCAAAGACACGUCACGUCACUCACACAGGUUUUAUUGAUACACUCAUAGUGUAGACAUGACGACGAAAUCCAGAGUUCAUCACAACGUGUAGCGACAAUCAAACAGUAGCUUCACAAAUUACAUGUCUGUCGAACGAAUAUCUCUAUACCACCAACAGACGGGUAAACAAUCCGAAAAAAGGAACUUACACCUGCACGUCGGCGACGUUCACAAUUCCGCAGGUCAGAGGAUAUUGAGCGCGAAUACGUAAUUGUGCCUUUUUUUACUUCACUGUCAGGUCAAAAAUAUCAUUCUGACAAGUCGUUUUGACGCCGGCGUUUUAUUUUAUUGGAAACAAAAGGUGUGCAUGGUGGUUAGGAUUGAGAGACUGAAAGAAAAUGAAUGAAAACCCCGUCCCAUUAUCUUUGGCCCCUUCUUUUUUCAAAGAGCGAUGGAUAACAAAAGCCACGUGCGCAUGCCAGGACUCUUAAGUGGGACGUCUUUGUUUCGUGUUUCUAUCACUGUACUGUCACCGAGUUUCAACAAAUCACAGAUAUUUCCAUCCUCUUUUCACUUUGAUGUCUGAGAUUUUAACUAAGUUUGCAGUGAAAUCUCAGACUUUAGAAUACAGACUUUGGAAUACUAAGAGACAACGUAAAUUCUUCAGCAAUUCAUUACGCUGAAGAAACAAUUUCCGAAUGAAUCAUCAUAUUUGGAAGGACAUGGCUUCAGCUGUAAGGUUUGGAAUUACAGACUCAUAGCAGACAUAGUGCGUCUUCCUGCUGAGGUUUUCACUAACGUUGCGAUAGGAACAAUCGAACUAGCUUCACUAAUUAUGUAUCUGUCAUACGAAAAUUUCUAUCUCAGCAAUAGAUGGAUAAACAAUCCUAAAAAGGAACGUACACCUGCAUAUCAGCGACGUUCACAAUUGCGUAGAUCAGAAUGCCUGAAAAAUGGCAUAUUUUAAUGGGCGGGGUUUCGGUUGUAUCAUGUAGAAUUUGAUUGGCUUGUGGAAAAACAAAUAUGGACUCUGUGGAAUAUAUAUUAGCCGCUAAUCUACAGUCAAAUGUGGACAAUCACACGCUUUGUUUCAACACCACCGGAUGGCACGCUCAUUAGAGGAAGCAGAAGCAGAUGAAAUUCUGCGAAGAUGGAAGACAAGGAUGAACAUUUUAGCACAAGAGUGAAGCCCUAUUUAUUUGAAGAAUAAACAGUGCACAUGACUCGUGACUCCAAAGCCGAGGCCAAAUUUGAUAAAUUGUUGUUUUAAUACCACAGCUAUUUUGAAUUCUCGAAUCUGAUUGGUCAGAAGGAGUGGAGUACUCUUCAAGGCAAACAACAGGUUUAUAUUAGUGCCUCGUUGUAAUACAUUAUCGUUUCUAUAGUGACAACCUACAUGUAUGUUGCACACGCCUCAUGAUCUAAUGGCAAUGACGACGGAUUAAAAAAAGUUUUGUUACAUAAUUUUGAUAUGGUGAAAUGUAUUUAACAUUUAUGGAAGGAGUCUCCAGUGUUAGUGCUUUGCAACAGUCAGAUGUAAUGCUUUACGUUUUCAGCCACAGGAAAGUCUUCAGAAUGGAGGACGCUGUGCUUUUCAGAUUCUCAGUUUGAUUUAGUCCAAUUGAAAAAAAAAAUCAAUUGAAAAUAAAAAAAAUAAAAAAAUAAAUACAUUGUGAAGUCUGCUAUGUAUAAAAAUGAUAUGAGCAUAUGAGCUUCUGCAAUUAAUUUCAUGGGG